rnacentral:rRNA from 1 species
GAUGAACGCUAGCGACAGGCUUAACACAUGCAAGUCGAGGGACCGGCGCACGGGUGAGUAACACGUGUGCAACCAACCCCGUACCGGGAGAUAACCCGCGGAAACGUGGACUAAUACCCCAUAGUACGGGACGGGCACGCGCGACAUUAGGUAGCUGGCGGGGUAACGGCCCACCAAGCCGACGAUGUCUAGGGGUUCUGAGAGGAAGGUCCCCCACACUGGAACUGAGACGCGGUCCAGACUCCUACGGGAGGCAGCAGUGAGGAAUAUUGGUCAAUGGGCGAGAGCCUGAACCAGCCAAGUCGCGUGAGGGAAGAAUGGUUAUGGCCUGUAAACCUCUUUUGUCAAGGAAGCAGUACUUGACGAAUAAGCAUCGGCUAACUCCGUGCCAGCAGCCGCGGUAAUACGGGGGAUGCGAGCGUUAUCCGGAUUUAUUGGGUUUAAAGGGCGCGUAGGCGGGACGGCAAGUCAGCGGUAAAAGACUGCAGCUAAACUGUAGCACGCCGUUGAAACUGUCGACCUGGAGACGAGACGAGGGAGGCGGAACAAGUGAAGUAGCGGUGAAAUGCAUAGAUAUCACUUGGAACCCCGAUAGCGAAGGCAGCUUCCCAGGCUCGGUCUGACGCUGAUGCGCGAGAGCGUGGGUAGCGAACAGGAUUAGAUACCCUGGUAGUCCACGCCGUAAACGAUGCUCAUGGAUCUUGGCAGGGUUCAAGCGAAAGUAUUAAGUGAGCCACCUGGGGAGUACGUCGGCAACGAUGCAACUCAAAUGAAUU